CCACCGCCAGAGCAGGCAUCGGAGAGCGCACGCGGGCCGAGGGCGCGCUACUGGGGAUGCUGGCCCGGGUUCUUUUAAGACGGGUUCUGGCCACAAGCGACGGCAGCUUUCGCGACCCCCAUCAGCCCCGCCUCACUCCGGACACUGGCUGCCGAGGCGCCGGGCUGCGAGCUCUGGGACGCGCCUAACUUGGAAAGCGUCUUGCUUGCCCAGCGCGCGCUACUUCUCGGGCGAGCACCCUGCGCCGGGGCACAUGCUGCCCCCGCCCCUGCGCGCCUGCGGCUCCCGGCUCUCCCUCCCCUGCGCCGCGCUCUCGCCUCGCUUUCCGCGGGAGCCUUCCAACCGGUCCUGGGGAGAAGGACGGGAGCUGUGGGAAGAGCGAGGGUGUAGAGAGGGAAGUUAGGGCUUCCGCUUUCUCCCCCAACUCCAGCGGCGGCGUUCAGUCCUCUGGGUGGAAUGUGCUCUCAGCGGCAGUGACGGCGGCCACAGCACUGGAGGCACCCGAGCCAUACACCCUGCAGCUGGAGAGGAAAGGAUGGCCGAGGUGGGAGAGACUAGAGUGAACCAGCAGGAGGAAGUCCUAGGGCCGCGAAGCUACGGCGGAGAUCUGUCCUGGAAAAGCCUUCUCCACCCUGGGCACUUUAAGCGGCGGUGGCGGCAAACAGCAGGAGGUUGCAGACCCGACAGCGAGCCUGCCUCAUUCCAGUCUUGCUCUGCCCUCCGGAGAUGACAAGUGAGAAAGAAGUGUCCGGCCGGGCCAUCCCCUUCAGUUACCAAGAAUAACUGUAGAAUGUGCUGGGAAUGCAAUGUCCUGAGAUAAGGAGGAACUGCCUGAAACAGCCUGGACCUUAUUCCUGUACUUCCUAGGGAAUGUAACAUCUCAAGUUAAAGAGGGACUGCCUGGGACAGCCCUGGGAUUGUUCCUCUCUCCUGGGAAGGAAGAUCACCUCCAAAGCUUAUCCAUUGAGUCACACUACCCCUGUGGUGGCAGGCUGCCUCUCCAGGUUCCUCAGCUGUGGUGCAACAGAAGCAAGCACAAUCAAGACUCCAUCUGUUCAAGGCAGCUUUCUCAAACCUUGGGGAACCUACUCACAAUGGAUCACAGGCUUCUUUUGUUUCUUGCUGCUUAUCUUGGGAAGCAAAAAUCAGCUGAGUGAAGAUGAGGAAGAAGGUGUUAAAGGUUUGAAGAGAAAAAAUGAAAAGGAUAUACUAAUCCAAGGGGAUGCAGAGAAGACAAGAAACUUCUAGAAGGACUAUGAAACCUUGAAGAGGAAACUGAAGGAUUUAUAGCCUUGUAGGACUGUGAGAUGUUUUUCACUGCCUGAUCUCAAGGCAACCCAAAAGCCAGAUGUGAACACUGAUGUGGGUGGAGAGAUCUCAAGAAGCAGCCCACUACUUCCCGCUCAAGAAGCAGGAGAGUCUACUGGCAGCAACAGUCAUGGCAGCAGGAGCCUACAGCACCCAAAACAGAAGACUUGUACAAAAUAUAGAAAAAAGAAUACUGUACCCUAAGAUAUUUCUGGCAUAAAUUUCUUCUCUGAGCAGAGGAGCUGUGGCCCCAAGAGGGUAGCAAGAAUCCCCACUAAUUUUUUCUCUCUCUAGCCUCUUGAGGCUUGACUGUGGAGUUGGAAAUGUGGCAGAGCAGGGUAAAUAAAGCCCCAGCUUUCCAACCACAAAAAGGGAAUGCAGGGAACUAUCAAUUUCUGGGGAGACAGUGGAGAAGAAGGAGCUCAAAAAGCAACUUUGAUAACCAAAUUCAAAGAAAUUCUUCAUGACCCAAGAUUAUGCAAAGUUGUCUUAGGUAUGACACCAUACAGAUAAUCUAUUUAAAAAUUGAUGAACAUUAUCUUUUUUAAAAAAUUGUUCUAUGAAAGACAUUGAAAUAUAAUGAUGAAAUAAUGUAUAGAUUGGUGAAAGUCUAUUUAAAAUAUAUAUCUGACAAAGAAUUUGUAUCCAGAACAUAUAAAGAACUGUUAUAACUCAAUAAUAAAAUAACUCAAUUAAAAAUGGGCAAAAGACUUGAACUUCAUCACAAUGGACAUAUGUAAAUCAACUAAGUGCAUCAAAUAUGUUCAACAUCGUUAGCCACUGGGGUAAUGGAAAUUAAAACCAUGACAAGAGACCAGUACAUACCUAUGAUAAUGACUACGUUAAAAUAAAAAAAAAA
rnacentral:lncRNA from 1 species